GCAGGUUUCAGUCUCCUGACUUUGGGUCCAGGACCCCUGUUGACAAAACACCACUCUUCUGAGGUCCCUAUCUGGCGCCCUGGCCAGGACCAAGAAGACUGAUCUACGGUCUGCCCUGGCAGGGCCAGUUCUUAGUCUUGUGGAUGGCGAUGUUUCUACAUUCCUCAUUCCUGUGACUAAACUCAGAAGGAUUAAAUAUGCCCAGUAUCGAGCAACUAGCAGGUGGCUGGCUCAAUAGUCAAAUCCUGGCUUCCAUGAUUUCACAUUACUUCUCUUGGAAAUGGAAUCCAAUCUUGUGUAUGAUGGUGACCAGUAACACUCUCCAGACCAGAUUUUGAACACACACAUCCUAAAGAUUGGCUGCCACAGCCCUGGAUUCAGAGCUCAGGACUGGGGAAGGUUCAGCUGCAUAGAAUGUCCUUGAAAGGCUGCCCCAAACCACCUUGAUGAGGCAUGUGAUUCAUCUCCAGAUACCAGAAUUUAAAAGAUCAGGAUCCCUGUUUCAGUCCCACAGAGUCAUUAUACCUAUGACGUUUUCUGCUCAUCACGAAAGACAGAAAUGCUCUAGAUGCCUUGUGGGAAUGCUGAAGUUACCAAAAACUAUACUGAAGACAAAUACAAAAUUAAGUAGAAAGUCUCCUUCAACAUGGUGAGAAGGGGCCGAGUCUGGAAUUGACUGAUUGAAAUGGACAAACUUAUCAGAAAGGUCCAGACGAUCCUUGUGUACUCCUUUUGGUGAAGAACGAUUGCCUGUAACACA